rnacentral:lncRNA from 1 species
CACGCACAUGAGGAGCUUUUUAUUAUCUAUAUGGAGCUCAGAAAGGCUGGAUCUCUCAACAUAUGUACAACCAAAAGAUAGUGAUGCAAAGAUGGAUUGCAGCCAGCCAAAAUAGACUGAGAAUUUCCAUUAUAAGUUGGAGUUUAGUGUUGGGGAUAGGGUGCUUAUUGUAGACUGCAGCAUGCCAAUUGGUUAUUGACAGUACCACGAGCUCCAAAUUUCCCCAUUCUUCGCCUACGAAAUUCGUCACCGUCGGUCAGUCACUACUCGAUUCCUCGCA